GUUCGUAACUAAUUUUCUUUUGCUAGGGUGAGACCAUGAGCCUUAACAUGAAUAUGUAGUAUUUAUGCAAUUGCUUAUGAUAUUAUGCAUGCAUACUUUGAAUUAUUAAUCACUGUGUUUAAAAUUGUCUCUAUGUCUUAAUGCUUAGCUACCAUUAGGAUGUUUAGGCAAUUCGGUCGGAAUAUCACCGGAUGAUUGAGUAUUGCUUCUUAUGGUUAAUAAUUGUAAUUUCACCUAAGGCGAAUAUCACACUCUUAGGGGUUGCAUGGUUGGAUUUUCACAAAACUUAAUGAGCCUUGCAUGUUUACAUUUGAUCUAAAUAUCUUGCUUGAAUAUCAUGGGGAGAAUAUGCAUUAGGAAAACCUAACAUUCAAAGUUGCAUAUGUACUUCAUAUGUAAUUGUUAAAAUUACAUAGGAUUGUUAAGGUGACGGCAGAACCUUAGUGCUUAAAUUGAUUUUCAAAACCGUUUUCCUUUGUUUUCUUUACUUUGCCAAUUAUUUAAUUGUUUUUAUUAAAUUUGUUUUAUUAUUUGAGGUCAUAAAAUCAACCUUUUUCUAAAAUCUUGUUUUAAAUAGUUAAUUAAGAAUUAGUUUAAAUACAAAUUAUUCAUUUAAUCCCUGGGGAACGACCUUGCAUGAGCAACCUAACUUCAACUACCUUGUUCUCUUGCAAGUAUUUUAAAGUAUUUUUUUAUCCAUACUUUUGCAAGUGGUAAAAAUCUUAUCAGUGAGGCCACGAGAUUUAGCAUGAAGAUGUAAAAGGGUGGGCACAGGCCGGGUCAGGCCUAAAUUUGAAAGAACCAAACUGGAGCCAUUUAAAAAUGUAAUGGGGUGGCCUGAGCCGAGUAAUGCCAUUUAUAAAUUUGGAACCGGACCUCACCUGGGCCCGUUUUGUCAACGCGUCGUUCAUCAUUUUCCUUCGACAACCCUAAUACUCAAAUCAUAAGCAGUAGCAUUAGGAU
rnacentral:lncRNA from 1 species